UUUAAAUUGUUACCAUAUGUUUACGGUGCGCUUGAACGAAGGCUAAUUAGAAAUGUAAUGUAACUCAAAUUUUAUUGUAGAUAAAUGUUAGUCGAUGUCCACUGAUCAUAAAUCAGGACAAGUGGUCUGAAAGUGGACGGUAACUUUUUGAAACAUUUUUGAAAACCAUACUUUAACGGGUAAAGGGUCUCUCCUGCACAACAGUGUCAGCAUGCAGGUCGUACCAUGCGGUUUAAAUUAAAGGCUGUUCAAUUACCUUUCGAACGAUACCACACUUUCUAUAUUUGUGUUUAUAAGCUAGGCGUAAUGUUAGAAGAAUAUUUUCAUAUGAGUAUAGGUACUUUUAGCGCAUUUAUUCAAUGUUGAGAGCUAAGAUGGAUAUAAGUCGUCACUCUCUGAUGUUAAUUUCGUAUUCUAGGAACUGUUCUUGACUAAAAAUAGCCAAAUAUCUCGAACAUUUUUUAGUUUGUUUGAUUAAUUCAAUGUUUUUCAAUAAAUUGCUUACCACCGCGAA